UACGUAGGGACCAAGCGUUGUUCGGAUUUACUGGGCGUAAAGGGCGCGUAGGCGGCUUAACAAGUCACUUGUGAAAUCUCCGGGCUUAACUCGGAACGGCCAAGUGAAACUGUCAAGCUAGAGUGCAGAAGGGGCAAUCGGAAUUCUUGGUGUAGCGGUGAAAUGCGUAGAUAUCAAGAGGAACACCUGAGGUGAAGACGGGUUGCUGGGCUGACACUGACGCUGAGU
rnacentral:rRNA from 1 species